CCCACAGCGAGCGGCCCAGUCACUAGACUCAGGAGGCGGGACUUCCGGCCGCCCGGCUCCCGCAAGAUGGCGGCCGCAGUGGACAAGAGGAAGAUGCUGGACCAUGAGAGGAACCAGUCUUAGAAUGAUGCAGACACCCAAGAAGGCAUAGCGGAGAGAAGUAAAUAUGUGGAUCUUUGAUGACAAAUUGAGUUGUAGAAUCAUGCUGCACCUGAAGCCAGUCAGCCUGUGGACUUCUCAUUCAUGAGGAAUCACCUACCUGUGUGGAAGUGUGAGUAUCUGACUUGGAUGGCCCAGAUUACAGGGCUCUGAGAACAGAGAAGUGAUGCAUUUUGCCAAGGAGGUGGAGGCAGGCUGGCACCUGGAGAGCCUUUUCUGCCCUUUUCUUUAUAGCUCCAAGCAGUCUCCUCAUCUCUAAAACACGGACAGAAACAGCUAUCAGCCCCGCUUCCCUCGGGUUUGCACGCGGCCAAGAUGCCAUCACAGAGCUCACCCUUUAGAAAAAAGUACAAGUUACCCCAGGGACACGUCUGAUACCGAUUUAAUUUUAAAAAGAUGCCCCACAGAGUCUCUUCUAAGUUAACAUUUCAAGCAAUCCCGAAUGUUUUAAAGGGCGCGGUGCCUUAGCGGGGACGCCAAGCCUCCAAACCACCAAACCCUGGUCUUCAGCGACCGAGAGAGAAGGAAACGCUUUACCAUUGUCCCUGUUGGCCGUGGAUCUCAGCCUGGGCAUUCCAGCCUGGAACAGUCCCCCCAAGCCGGGUGGUCCACCCCCUCCAAAGCUUCCGCCACCGCCGCCACUGCCGCCACCUCCGCCGCCACCUCCUCCGCCAAAUCCGCCGCCUCCACCAAAGCCACCACCGCCACCAGCUCCGGCUCCUUUAGGUUCUGCAGAGGAAGAAAACACAAUCUCUACACAGAUCCAGAAGCACUACCAGUCUCCUUCACCAGUCCUGGACCAAGUACACAGUAACAACAAAACCUGGGCCUAUGGUAGACAACUGGAAUCUGAUUAAAAAGCAGGAUUGUAAGGAUUUACCCCACCCUCAUCAGAAAAGGAGGGGUUCCUUCCACCCCUGGGCAGUCACAGGCCCGGUGAAAGAAUGGACGAUAGGUGGUGACUGGCCCCAGGCCUCCCAUUUGGCUAGCUGCCAUAUGAAUUAAUAUCUAUUCGGCAAAUAAAAGGAUCUUCAAAUAAAUAAAGUCUCAAGGGAGGGGGAGAUGCAAUAAAAAGGUGAGAAAAAAGGAAAUUGUAAAAAUAAAAAGAAUAAAAAAUAUUUCAUAAUUUUACUACUUGGAAAUACCUAGUGUUUUGGCAUAUUUCCCCCUACCCCUUCCCCCGCCAGUAUCUUUUCAUGUUUAUUAUUUUUUUCUUAAAAUUAAGACCAACAUUCACUGGACAGUUUUUAGCCUGCUUUUUUUGCUUAACACUUUAUUGUUAGCAUUUCCCAUGUCAUUAAAUAUUCUUUAAAAAGAUAAAUUUAAAGGAAUGCAUUGUGUUUUAAAACAUGAUUGAUUGUAUUGUAGUUUAUUUAACUAUCUACUUAUUUGAUGGUCUUUUAGGUUGAUUUUAAUUUUUUAGUAUCAUUAAGCCCAACGGUAGGCUUUCACAUUUAAAAAUUCUUUGCAAUUUGAGACAGUGCAAAUAUUUUAUUUUGUAUUUAUUUUCAAAAAAUAGUGAAAGCUUUUGAAAUGGACAAACAAAUGAAGAAGAAAAAGAUUACUAAGUCUAGCCUUCUGUGUUAUUUCCCAUUGUCUUUGAGCUAUUUUACAACUCUAAAUUGUAGAACUAUAAUACAAAUGAUAUUAGUCCAUAGAAAUGCAAAUUGGUGUGUUCAGUGGAAGGCAACUGAUAUCGAUCCAUUUUUCACCUAUUUGUAAAUUAAUUUCAGCGUCUAUCUGCCUAUCUCCUUUGAACUGAUACCAUCAUACUGAUAACAUCACCUCUCAUUACUUAACAAGCAAAAUAAAAUUGUCUCUUAUGUAUGACCUGGUCGGUGUGACUCAAUGGCUGAGCAUCAACCUAUGGACCAGAAGGUCACGGUUCGAUUCCUGGUUGGGGCACGUGCCUGGGUUGUGGGUUCAAUCCCCAAUGUGGGACAUGCAGGAGGCAGCCAAUCAAUGAUUCUCUCUCAUCAUUGAUGUUUCUCUGUCUCUCUCCCUCUCCCUUCCUCUCUGAAAUUAAUUAAAAAAAUAAUUUAUGUAUGUAUGUUUUAUGAGGUUAAGCAUUGUUUAAAGUUCUACCCUAAAAAACUGUGGUGAGUCUUUGAUGAGUAUUAUAUGAGAUUUACAAAAUAAUCCGGAAGGCCGGACAGAAACACGGUUUAUUUUCUGUGUCUACUGAUUUAUCCAGUAAAGUUUUGUAAUUUUCUUUCUUUUUUUUUUUUUGUGUGUGUGCGCCCUUGACUGGAAUCGAACCUGGGACCCUUCAGUCUGCAGGCUGACACUCUAUCCAUUGAGCCAAACCGGUUAGGGCUGUAAUUUUCUUGAUAGGAGUCACACAGGCUUCUUGUUAGGGUUACUUCAAAUACAUUUUUGUUUGUUAAAAUUAUAAAAAUUGUUUUUUCUACUAACAUUUGUGAUUGGUCAUUAUUGGCAUCAUGAAAUUUCACUUGAUAUCUAUAAACAACUUUGUUCUUAUUAAAUUAAAAUUUACCCAAAAAAUUACCUUGGAUUUUCUAGUAGACAAAUGGUUUGCAGAUAAUAAAGGUUUCCCCCCAUCU